AGUGAACGCUGGCGGUAGGCCUAACACAUGCAAGUCGAACGGCUGCACAGGAGAGCUUGCUCUCUGGGUGGCGAGUGGCGGACGGGUGAGGAAUACAUCGGAAUCUACUUUGUCGUGGGGGCUAACGUAUGGAAACUUACGCUAAUACCGCAUACGACCUAGGGGUGAAAGCAGGGGAUCUUCGGACCUUGUGCGAUUGAAUGAGCCGAUGUCGGAGUAGUUAGUUGGCGGGGGAACGGCCCACCAAGGCGACGAUCCGUAGCUGAUCUGAGAGGAUGAUCAGCCACACUGGAACUGAGACACGGUCCAGACGCCUACGGGAGGCAGCAGUGGGGAAUAUUGGACAAUGGGCGCAAGCCUGAUCCAGCCAUACCGCGUGGGUGAAGAAGGCCUUCGGGUUGUAAAGCCCUUUUGUUGGGAAAGAAACCCAGCUGGCUAAUACCCGGUUGGGAUGACGGUACCCAAAGAAUAAGCACCGGCUAACUUCGUGCCAGCAGCCGCCGUAA
rnacentral:rRNA from 1 species